rnacentral:lncRNA from 1 species
GUGACAUUUACAGCUUAAAUGUCGACAAAUUCUUUUUAAAUCUUAAUUUCUCACAGUUUUUUUAAAAUGUAUUUAUAAUAAAUUAUGUUUCAAUUAUGAAUAGUUCAUGAAAAAUUAAAGCCCAGUUUCUCCUUUAAUGUACCUUAUUGGCUCACGAUAACAAGAGUUUUUAAGAUAAAACAUGAUGCUUAGUUUACUCUUAGAACUAUAUAUUUUACAGAUGUACAGAUUUUAAAUCCUAUAUUUUAUAUUUCAAAUUGUAUUUGAUGAUUCAUUUCUUCAUUUAUUGUUGGGGGAAGUGAAUCUCCAUUAAAAAAUGGAUAGAAGCUACUUUUCUCUGAAUUCAAGUUAUUUCCACUCAAGAAUCAAGUACCCCAAAUGGUUUUGAGAUAGUAUAGUAAAUCAAUGUUCUGCUAACUCUUUGGUCAUAACAUGAAGUCUGGCUCCUGCAAUUGCCUACUGUAAGCAUGCAACCUUACUGUUUGGAGACUUUAAUGUCUGAGCGAAAAAGAAAACCUAACCAGAAGAAAAACCUUUUGGACUUUUAAUGCCAAAAUAGGCAAGGUGGAGGAUUCUAUUCACAUCACAAAGAAUUAGCAGACAUACAACAAGCACUGAUGAGGUAAAAUGGUGAUAAAUGAAUAGACCUCUAUGUUAUGGAGAAACAUUGUUUAUAUUUGCUAUCCUAGAGGAUAUUUGACAAUGCUUUCUUUGCAGCUACAUAUAUACAUUAUUCUAGCCUUUCCACAAUGUGCUACAGCUCAGAAUGGCUACCAGUGGUGAUUUUGUAUGAGACUUCAUUAAUAAAAAGAGUACUACAAGAGUAAUACCUUCUCCACCAAAGUUCAUACAAUGGAACAUCACCUACUCCAGUAUUUGGCGCAAUCUCUUCCUACGAUCCAAGCAACAACAUUUGGAGAGGGAAAGGUCAGUCUCCUUUAAGCACUCCCAUAAAGCAUAAAUUGAAGAAUAAAGAAUAUGUUAAUAUAAUUUUAUGUUUGAGGGCAAAAUUCUUAUUUUCUUUUAAAUUAAAGGGACACUACAGUUACCCAGACCACUUCAGCUCAAUGAACAUGUUUGAACAUCUGUAUAGACUCUCAUAAAACCACUUCUUCAGGCAGAGAAUUGCACAUCCUGAUUGUAAAAAAAAAAAAAAAACUUUCCUUUGCCUUAGACGAAAUCUUCUUUCUUCCAGUCUAAACGCAUGGCCUUGUGUCCUAUGUAAAGUCCAGUUUGUGAAUAGAUUUCCACACAAUGGUUUGUAUUGGCCCCGAAUAUAUUUGUAUAAUGUUAUCAUAUCCCCUCUCAGGCAACGUUUUUCUAAACUAAAUAGGUUUAAAUUUGUUAACCUUUCUUCAUAGCUGAUAUUCUACAUAUCUAUUACUCUGUAAUUUAAUUCUGUUUGAUGAAAUUUUAUUUUGGUUGGCAUAUGAUGAAAUUUGGAUUUCUUGUGGUAAUGCAAUAGUGGUUUUGCAGCACCUUAUACUAAUUAAUAUAAGGUAAAAAGGCAGUGUUUACAUUAAAAUGCCUGUAGGGAUAUUCUAUAGACACCAUAACAACUACAUUAAGCUGUAGUUGUUUUUGUUGAUUAUAGUGCCCCUUUAACUCCUUAAGGACACAUGACACGUGUGACAUGUCAUGAUUCCCUUUUAUUCCAGAAGUUUGUCCUUAAGGGGUUAAAUCUGUUUUUAUCAACUUUUUCAGAUUGUCUGAUAUGCACAGACUAAUAUAGCAAUUUGAGCAAAUUGGCCUCUCAUUGAAAGAAAUACAUAGUACACAUAAUACUUUAUAUUUAGUUUCUCUUUUUUUGUUACAGUAUCAAGUUCAUGCUACAGUACAGUACAGUACUCCGUACAGUACUCCGAGCUGUUGAUUUAGACUAUUUCUUAAAUUAUAUUUAGAUUACUGUCCACUAAUAACAAAUGGUUACAUUUGGGGGAUUGUUAAUCUACUCGGUAUUACUGUACUUUUAUAAAUUAAACUUGUUGCAUCCCCCCAUGCUGUCAACAGGACAACUGGUCCUGUUACUUCCUGGUUUGGUUAGCUCAGUGGAGCUAAACUCAAAAGGCAGCAAUUGCUCAGAGCACUUGCCUUGCAAAGACUUCUCAUUGAGCUGAGCCUUAAUGAAAAAAAAUACAUAAUUAAAUACAUGCGUGUUUUCAUUGGGGGUAUAUCUACUAAAUUAUGAGAUAUAUAGUAUGUAUUUUUGGGGGCAGUGGAGAGUCCCUUUGAAUGUGCUUGCAGGAGUUUUAUAAUUGUGUAAUUAUGACUACGUGAAGAUUAACAGGAUCUUGAUAUUGCUUUUUAGUAAAAGUUGCAAUCUAAUCGUUCGACACCACACUCCUUAGCUUUUUAAUAAGUUGAACAAAUGACACAUUAUAAAGGUUGAAAUGUGACUUGUUUUUCUUUAUAAAUAAACUAAUAAUUUUUCUAACAAUUUAUCAGACAUUUUCAGUAUCGUCAAACAAUGAAUUCAUAUAACUGUGCUCUUAAAAAGUAUAAUUAUAUUAAUUUAUUAGAAAUUUGCGCAAUAUUACAAAAUAAAAGUAAUUUAAUAUUUAUGCAAAUUUGUCUCUUUUGUUAUUAUGUCCAUUAAUUGUUUAUUAGUUACUUAUAACUGCAGUAUAUUUUAAUGCAGCUAGACUAGUUUGAGGUUUGUGAGUUACUAC